CCUACGGGAGUCAGCAGUGAGGAAUAUUGGUCAAUGGACGAGAGUCUGAACCAGCCAAGUAGGGUGAAGGAUGACUGCCCUAUGGGUUGUAAACUUCUUUUAUAUGGGAAUAAAAUGUUCCACGUGUGGGAUUUUGUAUGUACCAUAUGAAUAAGGAUCGGCUAACUCCGUGCCAGCAGCCGCGGUAAUACGGAGGAUCCGAGCGUUAUCCGGAUUUAUUGGGUUUAAAGGGAGCGUAGGUGGAUUGUUAAGUCAGUUGUGAAAGUUUGCGGCUCAACCGUAAAAUUGCAGUUGAAACUGGCAGUCUUGAGUACAGUAGAGGUGGGCGGAAUUCGUGGUGUAGCGGUGAAAUGCUUAGAUAUCACGAAGAACUCCGAUUGCGAAGGCAGUUCACUGGACUGCAACUGACACUGAGGCUCGAAAGUGUGGGUAUCAAACAGGAUUAGAUACCCGGGUAGUC
rnacentral:rRNA from 1 species